AACCCCGGGUCAAGCACCAGAGAAUGUCUGGGAGUGAGCAAGGUGCUGGUGUUGCUUCUGUGGAUCAUCCUCCUGCUUGUACAGCCCUGGGGGGACCUAGGAAUGCCCCUCUGCUGUAGGGAGCCUUUUUACUUCCUUGCGGCCCUCUGAAGAUACUAGUAAACAAAAAUGAUGACACCCUCUACACCCCAGAUGAUCUCCUGGCCAGAGGAUCCCACCUGGAGCCCUGUGAGCCAAGGGGAAGAGGUAAGGAGGAGGAAAGUAAGGUAAGAUCUGAAGUCUCUGAGCUCUUGGGCAGGGAGUUGGCUAAAUUGCCCCACCUGCCCCCAUUCUCACUGUCCUUUAGAUACUCCCUCUUCUCUCUUCUUCCAGGAAGGGACAGAGAAGUGCACAAGUAUUCUCUAACCUCAUCCCUAUCCCUUGAGGACAGGGAGGGUCCUGUGGCUCACAUCCCUACAUCCCUGGCUACAAAUAAUUACCACUUGAGGCCGGGCGCGGUGGCUCAAGCCUGUAAUUCCAGCACUUUGGGAGGCCGAGACGGGCGGAUCACACAGGUCAGGAGAUCGAGACCAUCCUGGCUAACACGGUGAAACCCCGUCUCUACUAAAAAAAAUACAAAAAAAAAAAAAAAAAAAAAAAAAAAAAAA
rnacentral:lncRNA from 1 species